UCCAAUUCCCCGGAGACUGGCUCCUCUUCUCCUCCUCCCUCGGAUUACAGCCAGUCAGAGAGGGGCCACUGACCACUCCCAGGAUGCCUCGCGAAAGGAGCGGAUGCCUCUGAACAUCCAUCUCCCCACGUCAACAUCACACAGCACCGUCUCGUGGCGCGAGCACCUGGUUCCGAUAUGGAGAGGAGUUCGAGUCCUAGCUCCCCCUCCUACCUGGGCGAUGAGGAAUGUACAGGCGCUCUAAGAUGCAACUAACUCUACUUGUUAUGGCUUUCAAGCUCGCGAUGCUCACCAAGUAGCCCAAGACCAAUCUCUCAAAGUCACCUCUGUCCCUCACUCCCUUCCCGCCCCGCGCUGGUGCUGAGGCCGCUCCCUCUAGUCGGCCAUGUGGAAGCCACGCGUCGCUGCCAGCCGUACCUGCAGCCACCUGGUCAGCGGGGCCCUCCUGCUGACCCAUGACGAAGUCUUGCACGAGGCCCCACAGGGCGCCCGUAGGCGCCGCCGCCUCCAGAGCGGCGGCGGCAGCCAUGACGCGUACCCGAGACGGUGGGUGGGGAA